UCCUACGGGGGGCAGCAGUGGGGAAUAUUGGGCAAUGGGCGCAAGCCUGACCCAGCAACGCCGCGUGAAGGAAGAAGGCUUUCGGGUUGUAAACUUCUUUUCUUGGGGACGAAGAAAGUGACGGUACCCAAGGAAUAAGCCACGGCUAACUACGUGCCAGCAGCCGCGGUAAUACGUAGGUGGCAAGCGUUAUCCGGAUUUAUUGGGUGUAAAGGGCGUGUAGGCGGGAUUGCAAGUCAGAUGUGAAAACCACGGGCUCAACCUCGGAACUGCAUUUGAAACUGCCAUGCUGGCGUGCCGGAGAG
rnacentral:rRNA from 1 species